GGGCUGCCGGAGCCAAACGCUGACGAGUCUGCCGCGGCCGCCUGCGCCCAGCUGGGGUGCGCGGUGAUUGCGGGAGCCUGCGGGCCCGGUUCGCACGCCGGCAGGUGAUGAAGCUGAUUGUCUUCAUUUCCCACUGAGCCAUCAUUUCCCCAGUAUGGAGCUGCUGCUCGGCUGCUUGUGGAGAAGACCUCGGCCCUGAAGAAGCUUAGUACAUCAUGCGAACUGCCGGGUGGGAUGAAACACAAGCUGGAAUCAAGAUUGCCGGGGGAAAUAUAAAUAACCUCAGAUAUCCAAAUGACACCACUCUUAUGACAGAAAACGAAGAACUAAAGAACGUCUAGAUGAAAGUGAAAGAGGAGAGUGAAAAAGCUGGCUUAAAACUCAACAUUCAAAAAACUAAGAUCAUGGCAUCUGGUCCCAUUACUUCAUGGCAAAUAGAUGGGGAAAAAGUGGAAACAGUGACAGACUUUAUUUUCUUGGGCAGAUGGUGACUGCAGCCAUGAAAUUAAAAGACACUUGCUCCUUGGAAGAAAAGCUGUGACCAACCUAGACAGCCUAUUAAAAAGCAGAGAUAUUACUUUGCUGACAAAGGUCCAUCUAGUCAAAGCCAUGGUUUUUCCAGUAGUCAUGUAUGGAUGUGAGAGUUGGGCUGUAAAGAAAGCUGAGCGCUGAAGAAUUGAUGCUUUUGAACUGUGGUGUUGGAGAAGACUCUUGAGAGUCCCUUGGACUGCAAGGAGAUACAGCCAGUCAAUCCUAAAGGAAAUCAGUCCUGAAUAUUCAUUGGAAGGAUUGAUGCUAAAGCUGAAGCUGAAACUCCAAUACUUUGGCCACCUGAUAUGAAGAACUGACUCAUUGGAAAAGACCCUGAUGCUGGGAAAGACUGAAGUCAGGAGGAGAAGGGGAUGACAGAGGAUGAGAUGGUUGGAUGGCAUCACCAACUGGAUGGACAUGAAUUUGAGCAAGCUGGGAGUUCGUGAUGGACAGGGAAGGCUCGUGUGCUGCCGUCCACGGGGUCCCAAAGAGUCGGAUAUG